AGCAGCCGCGGUAAUUCCAGCUCCAAUAGCGUAUAUUAAAGUUGUUGCAGUUAAAAAGCUCGUAGUUGAAUUUCGGGAUCGGUAUGUUGGUCGUGCUUCGGUACGUACUGUCAUUACUGGUUUCUACCUUCUGAAGAACCUUGAUGUCAUUAAUUUGGUGUCUUGGGGAAUCAGGACUGUUACUUUGAAAAAAUUAGAGUGUUUAAAGCAAGCAUACGCUUGAAUACAUUAGCAUGGAAUAAUGAAAUAGGACGUUUGAUUCUAUUUUGUUGGUUUCUAGGAUCGACGUAAUGAUUAAUAGGGAUAGUUGGGGGCAUUAGUAUUCAAUUGUCAGAGGUGAAAUUCUUGGAUUUAUUGAAGACUAACUACUGCGAAAGCAUUUGCCAAGGAUGUUUUCAUUAAUCAAGAACGAAAGUUAGGGGAUCGAAGACGAUCAGAUACCGUCGUAGUCUUAACCAUAAACUAUGCCGACUAGGGAUCGGAUGAUGUUAAUUUUUUAAUGACUCAUUCGGCGCCUUACG
rnacentral:rRNA from 1 species